ACCGGAACCAGUUGCUGACUGCAAAUCGCAUUUUCUCAGUCUCCGAUCCUAAUUGCCUCCGUAGAGAGAGAGAGAGAGAGAGAGAGGAAAUGGCGGCAGACGAACUUCCUCUAGAUGACAAGGCGAAGAGGAUGCGAGAUCUUCUGUCCAGCUUCUACUCUCCAGAACCUUCCUUGGCUGCCUCUGCUUCUGCCAAGUCAGCUUCCUUGGACGCCAUCAACUCCACUUCCUUCGAUCCCGAUCUCUACAUGAAUCUACUGGUUCAAAAGUCGAAUUUGGAGGGGCUUCUUCAAAAACAUGUUGAAAUGGCUGCUGAAAUAAAAAAUCUUGAUACUGACUUGCAAAUGUUAGUAUAUGAAAACUACAACAAGUUUAUCAGUGCCACAGAUACAAUUAAAAGGAUGAAAAAUAACAUUGUUGGCAUGGAGGCAAAUAUGGAGCAGCUCCUCGAGAAGAUUAUGUCCGUCCAAUCAAAAAGCGAUGGAGUUAAUACAUCCCUUUUUGAAAGGAGAGAACAUAUAGAGAAAUUGCACCGAACCCGGAACCUUCUUCGUAAAGUUCAGUUUAUAUACGAUCUUCCAACUCGACUUGGAAAGUGUAUCAAAUCAGAAGCUUAUGCUGAUGCAGUGAGGUUUUACACUGGGGCCAUGCCGAUUUUUAAGGCAUAUGGAGAAUCAUCCUUCCAGGAUUGUAAGAGAGCAUCUGAAGAAGCUAUAGGAAUAAUUAUUAACAAUCUGCAGGUGAAGCUCUACUCAGAUUCUGAACCUGUAGCAGCAAGAGCAGACGCUGUCGUGCUUCUUAAACAGUUGGACUUCCCGGUAGAUAGCUUAAAGACAAAGCUGCUGGAAAAGUUGCAGCACUUUCUCUCAGAAUUUCAGAUUGAAUCAAGAGAAGCAGAGACCAUUUUAUCUAAUCCUGAUGAACCUUUUAAAGCAGGAGGGUUUUCAGAUUCAGUUCCAUCAAUUCCUCCUGAGGCUAGUACAAACCAGGUUUCCAUUGGUGAUUUUUCAGAGAGUGUCCGCGCCUAUCGAAUAAUAUUCCCGGAUUCAGAAAGUCGGCUAAUUGAACUUGCACAAGCCCUGUUUACCAAGCGUUUUGAAACAAUUCAGCAGCGCAUGAAGAAGAAGGUUUCUUCAGCAGAUCUACUGGUGAUGCUGCGAGGCAUUUGGACUGAUGUGACCCUGAUGGAUGAAGUAUUGCCUGAGGCUGCUCUCCCCACUUUUUCUUUGGAGGCUGCUCGUGCUGCCAUCAAACAAUUUGUUUCCAGCUCAUUUUCUCACCUUCUUCUGGAAGUCUCAGAUGCUCUCGCGAAAGUCAAAACUAAGUCAAAGGAAGGGUUGGAGGAGCUGAGCUUGUUGCAGGUUGCCCUAGAGAGCGGCAAAAAAGCAGUAAUUCAAGGCAGCAUGGAUCUGUUACUGGGCUUCCGUCAGCUUCUUGAUGAUGGCUUGGAGUUACUAGUGAAACUCAGAGACUUGAUUAUUGAUUGGGUGCAAGAAGGGUUCCAGGACUUUUUCAGUUCACUCGAUGAUAGAUUCCAUUUGCUCUCUGGAAGCAAUACUUCAGCCAAUCAGGAUCCAAGUUCAAUGGAUGGAAGACAAGCGGAUAAAGUGCUCACAGGACUUGUUCUUGUGCUGGCACAACUUUCCAUUUUCAUAGAACAAAGUGCAAUUCCUAGAAUUACUGAGGAAAUAGCUGCUUCUUUCUCUGGCGGUGGUAUGCGGGGCUAUGAGUAUGGACCUGCAUUUGUACCUGGGGAGAUUUGUCGAAUAUUCCGUUAUGCUGGUGAAAAGUUUUUGCAUCUUUAUAUACAUAUGAAAACUCAGAAAAUAUCAAUUAUUCUAAAGAAGAGGUUUACAACACCCAACUGGAUCAAGCACAAGGAGCCUAGAGAAGUCCAUAUGUUCGUUGAUAUACUUCUUCAAGAGUUGGAAGCCAUAGGAACUGAAGUUAAUCAGAUUUUACCCCGUGGGCUUGUCCGAAAACACCGUCGCUCUGACAGUGCGGGAAGCACUGCUUCCAUCCGUAGCAAUCCAAUACGUGAAGACAAGAUGGCCCGGACAAAUACUCAACGCGCCAGGAGCCAGCUUCUGGAAAGCCAUCUUGCGAAGUUAUUUAAGCAAAAAAUGGAGAUUUUCACGAAAGUUGAACACACACAGGAGUCGGUUGUAUCGACCAUAGUGAAACUUUGCUUGAAAAGCUUGCAAGAAUUUGUGCGCCUCCAAACAUUCAACCGAAGCGGAUUUCAGCAAAUUCAGGUGGAUAUCCAGUUUUUGAGGAAUCCAUUAAAAGAGAAUGUAGACGAUGAGGCGGCCAUUGACUUCUUGCUGGACGAGGUUAUUGUCGCUGCUGCAGAGCGGUGUCUUGACCCAAUCGCUCUUGAGCCUGCCAUUUUGGACAAACUCAUACAAGCAAAACUCGCUAAGCGCAAAGAGCAGAAACCAAGUCAUUAGUAAUAUGAAGGCCAAUCAGACCACCACUGCCAGGUUUUCCAAUUGUCAUACCCAAGGUUUCCUUCAUUGGUACUGUUUAUGUUACACACACAUUGGCUUGGGGUUGCAUUUGGAUUCUAUGCCAUUCACAUCACUCAUCUCCACCGUCUGUUAGGUCCAGUCCACUCUUCUUCAGCUGCUGUAAAAAUCGCAGUUAUGGGAUGGAAAUAAACAUCAAUGGCUGGACUAUCUUCUUCAAACAAUCUUGUCCAUCCAUUUUCUUCAUGCUGACUAAAUGGACGGUUUUUAAUCGGUGAUUUUCCAUAGUAGUCCGUGUGGAGCGGACUUGCACCUAGCAGACCUUCCAUGUGAUGUGGACACCAACGAGUCCAGAUACAACUGUAUGCAUGGGAAGGCUCCCAUGCACAGCCAUUACUCAUUAUC